UCUGGGACACACCUACACCUAGAUACAGCAGCUGCCAACCUUCUUCUCCUUCCUAACAAAACACCAUGGCUGAAACUUGCCUUCCUCCUCCAAAAUUCAGCCAUUAAAACUCACCUAAAGCUUCCGUGGGAAUGAUCCAAAACAAUGCUAUAAACCAGCUGCGCCAAACGACAAAAACAGCCAUGAAAAGCAGUUCUUUAGCCCCAUAAAUAACGCCAAAAACCAGUCAAAACUCAGCAGCUUUUUAGCCCUUAAAUUACCCCAAACCAGCCCACUUUUCGUCCAUUUUUACUCCCAAAACCAGCACCAAAAACCAGUCUUUUUCACGCCCCAAAACCACCCUAAACCACCGUGAAACACCCCCUAAAAUUCGAACUCAAACCAGCCACCAUCCUCCAUCAAAACCAGCUGUAAAUCCCUCCUAUACUAGCUGAAAAAUACCAUGAAAAGCAACUCCAAGAUAACUCCAGAGGUUGAGAUUUAGCUAUGGUCGUUCGAGGUUGCCGUUCGAAUUUCCGGUCAAAGGCGUUCAAGCUAUUUUGUUGUUCGUCGCUCAAGUUUUUGUCCGCUUUACUCUACUGUAAAUCUCACUUGGAGUUUUCCACUUGAUCAAGUCAUGGAAAAUUAUUUGACUUAAAGAUACAGGUACUUCCGGAUACGGCGGCUGCUAAACUUUGGAAAUUUAUCUGUUGGAGACUAUCAAGCUUCCCUAGUAUCACGAGAGGUGCCAUCACGACAGGUGAGAUUUGGGUCAUGACACUUCAAGUCCGUCAAUUUUUCAAGUUGAAGUUUUUAAGUCUGCUAAUUUUUCAAGUUGAAGUUUAAAAGUCCAUCGCUUUUCGAGUUAAAGCAUCAAAGUCUGCCAAGUCUUCAAGUUCGUCAAAUAUUCAAGUUUAUCAGUCUUCAAGUUGAAGUCCGCAAAGGCUUCAAAGUUUGUCAAGUGUUCAAGUCGAAGCCGUCAAGUCCACCAAGCCUUCAGGUUGAGGUGGACGUUUAAGUCCCUUUGCACCUUAAGUUGGCCUCUUCGUGUGUUUACCCUUUAAAGAUAUGUAAUUUUCCAAGUUUAAGAUGGACAUUUGAGUCCCCUUGCACCUUAAGCCAAUCUUGUUGCGAGUUGACCCUUCUAUAUGCUGUUGAGAAUUUGUCCUUCUAU